GAUAGGUGAGUAGUUGGAUAAGUGUAUAAUGCAUGUGUAUGAAUGGGUGCAUGGAUGGAUAUAUAGAUGGUUAAGUGGAUGGAUAGGUGGAUGGAUGGGUGGAUGCACUGAUAGAGAUAGAUAGAUAGAUAGAUAGAUAGAUAGGAGGAAGGAUGAUGGGUAUAUUGAUUAUAGAUGAGCAGCUGUAGAUUAAAACCCUUAGACAUUUGCUCUGAGGUUGAUGGAGGCCAAGGUUAAUUGUCUUACAAGACUGACAUUUUCUCACCCCAGUGCCCUCGCUCUGCUUUCUCAGGUCAGCACCUUGAUUGCUUUCAUGUUCUUGGUUUGGGAGCUCCUCCAAGCCAGAGUGGUAUGAAAAAAUGGCAACAUGACGUAUUAUGGGGACCUGUCACCAUGGAGUAGGGGUGGCUUGAGUUUUCUCCUCUGGCUUUGUUCCUUUUCCCAUUCUCUAUCUGUCCUGUGUGUCUGUUACCUGUGCUGAACACUGGAGGCUCUUGGAAAAAUCACUCCUUAUCCUACCCUCUUCUCAUGUUCCCAUGCUUUAAAGCUCAGGGUACUCCCUCCCUGUUCAGAAUAAGUGCAGAAUCCAGGACUGGUCCAUCAUGAUUUCAUCCCUGGACUGCACUGUUUGAUUCGGGAAAGGGCUGACGGCCCGAAUGCGUGAACACAGCUCACUCAGCUUCUUUGUUCUGCCUCACCUUGGGCCCAAAGCAACAGAUCCAGACAACCUUGGAAGGAGCCCUCUGAAACCAGUUCCUGACAUACAUGAGUGGAUGAAAACUUAUACCAGGGGGUGAACAGCAUGCGAUGCUAAGAGCUUCGGCUUCUCGGGACAAGGGAAAGCUUGGCAGAGGUGGUGAGGUUUGCACCUGUCCUGGAAGGGUGAGUGGAGAAGGAGAAAAGGUGACACUGUGGGAGUCAAGCAGGCGUGGAGAUGGCUGAAGCCAAGAAGUGUGCGCGCCCAUCUACUAGAGGACAAUUAAGCCAGAUGCUGUCGGCCUCACCUUUGACACACCCUGCAGCAACUCCAGCCUUGCUGGAAGUGUUCCUGCUGGUGACAUCAUGCCAGAGCCGGCCAGUUCCACGAAUCUAAGGACACAGUCCCCGAUUGUCCUGUGAGCCAUGCCCAAGUGAGCGUCUCCUGCACGGUCCCUGUCAGCACCAGUUGGAGCCACCAGGAGCCCAGCCAGGCUUAUGCCCUGGAUGCUUGGCUGCAUCAGCACACUCCCUCUGGGGAGUGGAAGUGCCAUGUCACCUACACUCAUCAUGACCUCCUUCCUGUUAGCUGACUCCCUGAGAACCAGUGAUAGAGGUGGUGACUGUAGGCACAGGCAUGGGGACGAGUGGAACCAUGUCUUGUAGGGUCCCCACAGCCUCUCUUUCAUGAGGGGUCUACCCUGGAAUCUACCAGUCUCUGUCCCUGUGUGUCACUGAAUCUCUGAAUGCAGGUCUUUCUGAUCUGUGCAUGAAGGACCUCCUUCUAGUCUAGAUCCUUGGUGCUAAGCCUCCUUCUCUUUCCACCCCAAGUAACAUCAGCUUUAUACUGAAUGCAUGCAGGGAUUGCAUUCAGGAUAGGUGAAUGAGGGCACUCAUGCCAGCAAAGCAGGCUUCUUGGGUUCAAAUCCCAUAUCUGCAAUUUCCUGGCUAAGUCAUCUUGAGCAGAUAGCCUGCCCUAGUUUCUAUACACACUUAUUGGACUAGCCUAGGAGCUGGCAAAUGAUUUCUGGAAAAGGCCAAUGUUUCAAUUACUCAAUUGUGUUAAUUCAGCUUUUAUAACAGUCACAAACAAAGUAUAAAUAAAUUGGUAUGAUCGAUUAUCAAUAAAACUUUAUUUAUAAA